CCAGACACCAUCCCUAGCUCUCUGACUUCAGAGGUGUUGGGAAUAGUGUCCUAAAGCCAAUCGUCAGUCUGUUAACGGUUGUGCUCAUUUUUGUAUAUGUACAUGAAUUAUGAAUUAAUAAAAAUUAUUUUGGUAUUUUUCAUCACAAAAUGUUUCAUCUUGUAAUGAACUCCUAUGUUGUGGUGAAGUCCUUAGGACUAUUUAGACUCGACAAAGGAGGAUUUAUCGUUUAGUCCUUAAAUCUGUUCGCCACCAAAUGAUA
rnacentral:lncRNA from 1 species